GAUGAACACUGGCGGCGUGCCUAAUACAUGCAAGUCGAGCGAAGCGGGGACGGGUGAGUAACACGUGGAUAACCUCCUAUAAGACUGGGAUAACUUCGGGAAACCUGAGCAAACCCGGAUACUUCUAGUUGGAGCCGCGCUGCAUUAGCUGGUUGGUAAGGUAACGGCCUACAAAGGCAACGAUGCAGAGCCGACCUGAGAGGGUGAUCGGCCAAACUGGAACUGAGACACGGUCCAGACUCCUACGGGAGGCAGCAGUGGGGAAUCUUCCGCAAUGGGCGAAAGCCUGACGGAGCAACGCCGCGUGAGUGAGGAAGGUCUUCGGAUCGUAAAACUCUGUUAGUAGGGAAGCGGUACCUAAUCAGAAAGCAACGGCUAACUACGUGCCAGCAGCCGCGGUAAUAC
rnacentral:rRNA from 1 species